GAGAUGUACAGGCAGCAUCCUUUUCAGACUUUACAAGAUGCUGUGAAAUGCAAGUAAACUGACUUCUACAGAGCCAGCCAGGAUUUGCUGAUGAUAAGACUUAUUUUGCUUGGCAGAAUUUUCAAGACCAUCCAUCAUUGAAAUGCCCACUGCAAAUUCAGAAGAACUGAUGGAAUUCUGCCUGUGAAGCAAGAACCGUUACAAGCUCCAUUAAACGAAAUGAAAAGCAUCUUUUGUGAAUAACUCCCCCCACAAGAAAUCUUACAUUUCCAGGCAUCCCUUUACCUACCUUCAUGAAACAACUUAUACAUUCGUAAAACCUUCAUUGAAGGCAGCUCUGCAAUUUUAUAGAAAACAACAUGCCAGGGAUGCAAAGAUCUUGCCAGUUCUGUGAAAAAUGACACCAAUUAAAGCUUAAAUUGCUUGUUUUCUCAUAAGCCUGGCUCCUUGGUUACUGCAGAGGCUCUACUGGAUCUCUCAAUCAAGGAAGAGGGAGACUGACCAAGAAGAGUGAGGAGCUCAGUUCAUCUCAUCUGUGUUGUAUGUCUUUUAUGUUCCUGUCAAAAAUGGUACUCCACCCUUCCUUCCUUCCUUCCUACCUGUACAGAGGGGCACAACAAAACAGAGAUGGACUGUCAUUUUAAAAUUAUUAUAGUAGCAUUUCUACUCCAUGUCAGUUUGGAAAAAAGGAAACCAAAUGCAUUAAAUUAAGAAUGUAUUGAAUAGUAAGAUAUCAAAAGAUAGCUAAGCAUUUUGAGUCACUUGGGGAACAUAAACUGAUAAGUUAUAAUGAGAUCCCCAAAGUCCUGUGAUCAACCUAGAAUAAAUAGAAUGAAAUACCAAUGGGUUUGCUAAUUAUAAGUAUCUGUUUUAAAAACGACUCAGUGAUCUGCAUCCUGUCCAAUGUGAAAAAUAUGAAUUGUGUGCUCUAUUAUUAAUCCAUUAGUGAUAUAUUUCACUGUACUUUUGCAAUGAUGAUCAUUAAUGAAAAAAAGCAAACAAACCUGUGACAUUUGUAUUACACAAAAGUGGGUGUUUGGGGUUUUUUCUGUGUGUGGAGAUCUACUCAGACUGAAGCUAUCGUUUUAAUCAUAGUGUUAUUUAAACUACCAUUGUAAUUCAACAUCUUCAUUUUUAGACACAGCCUAGUAAUGCAAGCAAAUGUGUCUCUCUGCAAUGGACAAAGAUUAAUGCCAUGUGUACU